rnacentral:rRNA from 1 species
UGCGGNUGCUACCAUGCAAGUCGAACGGUGAAGGAAAGCUUGCUUUCUGGAUCAGUGGCGAACGGGUGAGUAACACGUGAGCAAUCUGCCCCUGACUCUGGGAUAACAGUUGGAAACAGCUGCUAAUACUGGAUACGAACUGCGAUCGCAUGGUCGGCAGUUGGAAAGAAUUUCGGUCAGGGAUGAGCUCGCGGCCUAUCACCUUGUUGGUGAGGUAAUGGCUCACCAAGGCGUCAACGGGUAGCCGGCCUGAGAGGGUGACCGGCCACACUGGGACUGAGACACGGCCCAGACUCCUACGGGAGGCAGCAGUGGGGAAUAUUGCACAAUGGGCGGAAGCCUGAUGCAGCAACGCCGCGUGAGGGAUGACGGCCUUCGGGUUGUAAACCUCUUUUAGCAGGGAAGAAACGAAAGUGACGGUACCUGCAGAAAAAGCGCCGGCUAACUACGUGCCAGCAGCCGCGGUAAUACGUAGGGCGCAAGCGUUAUCCGGAAUUAUUGGGCGUAAAGAGCUCGUAGGCGGUUUGUCGCGUCUGCUGUGAAAUCCCGAGGCUCAACCUCGGGCCUGCAGUGGGUACGGGCAGACUAGAGUGCGGUAGGGGAGAUUGGAAUUCCUGGUGUAGCGGUGGAAUGCGCAGAUAUCANGAGGAACACCGAUGGCGAAAGCAGAUCUCUGGGCCGUAACUGACGCUGAGGAGCGAAAGGGUGGGGAGCAAACAGGCUUAGAUACCCUGGUAGUCCACCCCGUAAACGUUGGGAACUAGUUGUGGGGUCCAUUCUNCGGAUUCUGUGACGCAGCUAUCGCAUUAAAGUUCCCCGCCCUGGGGAGUACAGCCGCAAGGCUAAAACUCUAAAGGAAUUGACAGGGGACCCGCACAAGCGGCGGGAGCAUGCGGGAUUAAAUUCGAUGCAACGCGANNAACCUUACCAAGGCUUGGACAUA